AAUAAAUACAAAUAAAAAGUAUUAUUAAAAGUUAAAAUAAAAUUAAUAAUAUAUAAUAUAAUUUAUUGGGUUAAAUUUUAAAUUAUAAAAAUUAUUAUAAAAGUAAAUAUUUUAAGCUUGGAAAUUUUUAUAAUAAACUAGGAUUAGAUACCCUAUUAUAAGAAAUGUAAAUUUAAAUAAUAGAGUAGUAAUAGUUAUGUUCUUAAAACUUAAUAAAUUUGGCGGUAUUUUAAUCUAUUCAGAGGAACUUGUUUUAUAAUUGAUAAUCCUCGUUAAAUCUUACUUAAUUUAUCAAUUUGUAUACCAUCGUCAUAAGAAUCUCUUAAAAAAGAAAAAAUUUUCUAAAAAAUUAAUUAGUUAAAAUGUCAGAUCAAGGUGCAGUUUAUAGUUAAGAAAAAAUGAGUUACAAUAAAUUUAUUUAAAUGAAUUUUAAAUUUAAAUAUUUAAAUGAAGGUGGAUUUGAUAGUAAAAUAAACAAUAAAAUUUAUUUGAUUUUAGUUCUAAAAUAUGCACAUAUCGCCCGUCGCUCUCGUUAUUUAAAAUGAG
rnacentral:rRNA from 1 species